UCUCCCAUGUUGACGUCUACACGAUCAUAUUGCACACUCCGUACGACUGUCACUAGGGGGCAGAAUCCGACAGUCGUUUCCGUAUGUCAUGUGAAAGGCAGCUCGAGCGGUGUAGCGUGUUGAAACCUAUUUCACCGAGAAGAGACGAGAGCACACAUCUGUUGGAGACAUGGACUUUCCACCUGAUCCAAUUCAAACUGACUAUACUCCGGCAUUGACAAAUGAGCAGGAAGGCACAGACUUUUCAUCGCUGGAGCCUGAAAAGAAAGAACUGUCAUGGCCAAAAAAGGACCAGCUCAUGUAUGAGAAACUGGGAGAAGCUCUCACUGGAAAUAUAGCCUAGUGGACAAAGAGUGCAGCUUUUUUGCCUUUUACCUUUUGUAUUUUUGUUUUGUUUUGUUUUGGGAAUGGUAUUUUGUUUUUGUCUUGGACGUUGAACAUUUUUCUUUUUGUUCAAUGUAGGGUUUUUUUGUGAAUAUUGAUGGUUGAGUUAAAUUAGAAGUUGUUUUUUUUUCAAGUAAGAUUGGUUAUUUUGUUUGUUUCUUUGAUUUGGCACGGUGUCUUAUUCUUUUCUCUUGUCCUCGUUCUCUUGAGAAUUAUUUUUGGUUUGGUUAACGAAUGUAUAUAAUUUGUAAAUUUAUGUAAAUAAUUAUAUUUUGGAUUAGUUGGUAUUGGGUACACUAAAAUAAACAAAAACUUUGUUGA